rnacentral:rRNA from 1 species
GAUGAACGCUAGCUACAGGCUUCCCUCUUGCAAGUCGAGGGGCAUCAUGGCGGUUGCUUGCAACCGUCAAUGGCAACCGGCGCACGGGUGAGUAACACUUUUCCAACCUGCCAAUGACUCGGGGAUAGCCUUUCAAAAAAAAAAUUAAUACCCGAUGGCAUAUUUCUUCCGCAUGGAAAAACUAUUAAAAAACUUCGGUCAUCGAUGGGGAUGCGUUCCAUUAGGUUGUUGGCGGGGUAACGGCCCACCAAGCCUUCAAUGGAUAGGGGUUCUGAAAGGAAGGUCCCCCACAUUGAAACUGAAACACGGCCCAAACUCCUACGGGAGGCAGCAUUGAGGAAUAUUGGUCAAUGGACAAAAGUCUGAACCACCCAAGUAGCGUGAAGGAUGACUGCCCUAUGGGUUGUAAACUUCUUUUAUACGGAAAUAAAGUGAGGCACGUGUGCCUUUUUGUAUAUACCGAAUGAAUAAGGAUCGGCUAACUCCGUG